AUAGGGGAGCCGAAGGGAAACCGAGUCUUAACUGGGCGUUAAGUUGCAGGGUAUAGACCCGAAACCCGGUGAUCUAGCCAUGGGCAGGUUGAAGGUUGGGUAACACUAACUGGAGGACCGAACCGACUAAUGUUGAAAAAUUAGCGGAUGACUUGUGGCUGGGGGUGAAAGGCCAAUCAAACCGGGAGAUAGCUGGUUCUCCCCGAAAGCUAUUUAGGUAGCGCCUCGUGAACUCAUCUUCGGGGGUAGAGCACUGUUUCGGCUAGGGGGUCAUCCCGACUUACCAACCCGAUGCAAACUGCGAAUACCGAAGAAUGUUAUCACGGGAGACACACGGCGGGUGCUAACGUCCGUCGUGAAGAGGGAAACAACCCAGACCGCCAGCUAAGGUCCCAAAGUCACAGUUAAGUGGGAAACGAUGUGGGAAGGCUCAGACAGCCAGGAUGUUGGCUUAGAAGCAGCCAUCAUUUAAAGAAAGCGUAAUAGCUCACUGGUCGAGUCGGCCUGCGCGGAAGAUGUAACGGGGCUAAACUGUGCACCGAAGCUGCGGCAGCGACGCUUAUGCGUUGUUGGGUAGGGGAGCGUUCUGUAAGCCUGCGAAGGUGUCCUGUGAGGGAUGCUGGAGGUAUCAGAAGUGCGAAUGCUGACAUAAGUAACGAUAAUGCGGGUGAAAAGCCCGCUCGCCGGAAGACCAAGGGUUCCUGUCCAACGUUAAUCGGGGCAGGGUGAGUCGACCCCUAAGGCGAGGCCGAAAGGCGUAGUCGAUGGGAAACGGGUUAAUAUUCCCGUACUUGGUGUUACUGCGAAGGGGGGACGGAGAAGGCUAUGUUGGCCGGGCGACGGUUGUCCCGGUUUAAGCGUGUAGGCUGGUUUUCCAGGCAAAUCCGGAAAAUCAAGGCUGAGGCGUGAUGACGAGGCACUACGGUGCUGAAGCAACAAAUGCCCUGCUUCCAGGAAAAGCCUCUAAGCAUCAGGUA
rnacentral:rRNA from 1 species